UUAGGGAACUUUUCCAAUGCGCGCAAGCGUGAGAAAGUAAGCCGGAGUGUUAUUCCUAUAUUUGGAAUAACUUUUGUUCAUUGCAAAAAGAUGGACGAAUAAGGAGUGGGCAAGAUCGGUGCCAGCCGCCGCGGUAAUCCCGACGCUCCGAGUCGCAGCCACAAUUAUUGGGUCUAAAACAUUCGUAGCUUGUUUGUUAAGUUCUUUGUGAAAUCUGAAAUCUUAAGUUUCAGGCGUGCAAAGAAUACUGGCAGACUUGAGACCGGAAGAAGCAAGAAGUAUGCUCAAGGUAAUGGUAAAAUAUGUUAAUCUCGAGCAGACUAACAACAGCGAAGGCAUCUUGCUAGUACGGAUCUGACAGUGAGGAAUGAAGGCUAGGGGCGCAAAGUGG
rnacentral:rRNA from 1 species